rnacentral:lncRNA from 1 species
AUUUCACUGCAGGAGGCAAGAAGAAAGAUAUUAAGCAGCUUAAGGUUAUACACAUAUACACACACAUGCUUUGUGUAUACACAUUACACACAUACACAUGAUCCCCACACAUGAUUGUUCUAAUCUAAAAGCAGUUUUUUUUUUCUAUUAAGGUGCAAUGUUCUUUUCCUUUCUCUUCUCUAGGACUGAUUCCAAGAACAGAAAUUAGCAUUUAACAAUGGGACAAGUGGAAAAGGAAAAUAAAUAUGACUCAUUUUGUUUUUUGCUCUUAGGCAUAAAUGCCUUUUCCCCAACUUAUUUUGUAUGGCUGACUCUUUCUUGCUUGCUUUAAGCUACAGCGAAAGGCUAUUUAUUUUUAAAUUGACCCAUGGUAAAGUUUGGUAACUACUGUCAAACAAACUUGGUCAGGAAACACACUUAGUGGCUAUUUUCAUCAUUCUGUCUCUCUGCUUCCAUUUGCCCUGGAAAGGGAAAGCAAGAAAGAUGUUAUCCAUGCAAAUAACAAGUGCAUAUUAAGAAAUCAUUGACAAAAUGUUAUAAUCAGAAUAUGUAAUUCUCAAUCUUCAGAAAAAUGUUUCUGCCCUGGCCUGAAUUUUAA